GACAGAGGGGGCAAGCGUUGCUCGGAAUUACUGGGCGUAAAGGGCGCGUAGGCGGGAUGGCAAGUCGGUCGUGAAAUCCUUCGGCUCAACCGAAGAACGUCGAUCGAUACUGCUGUUCUUGAGGGUUGCAGAGGAGACUGGAAUUCCAGGUGUAGCGGUGAAAUGCGUAGAUAUCUGGAGGAACACCGGUGGCGAAGGCGGCAUUCUGGACUGCAACUGACACUGAGGGACGAAAGCCAGGGGAGCAAACGGG
rnacentral:rRNA from 1 species